CGCACGGCUGAGGAACACGUGACUAACCUACCCCGGUGUGGGGGAUAACGGGUCGAAAGACUCGCUAAUCCCGCAUACGAUCCGCCUCGGCGGAGGAAAGCCGUAAGGCGCACUGGGCGGGGGUCGCGUCCCAUUAGAUAGUUGGUGUGGUAAUGGCGCACCAAGUCGAUGAUGGGUCUCUGGUCUGAGAGGACGACCAGACAGAUUGGGACUGAGACACGGCCCAAACUCCUACGGGGGGCAGCAGCAAGGAAUUUUCGGCAAUGGGCGCAAGCCUGACCGAGCAACGCCGCGUGGAGGAUGACGGCUCUUGGGUUGUAAACUCCUUUUGGGGGGGACGAUAAUGACGGUACCCUCCGAAUCAGGCCCGGCUAACUACGUGCCAGCAGCCGCGGUAAUACGUAGGGGCCAAGCGUUGUCCGGAAUUACUGGGCGUAAAGCGUGGGUAGGUGGUCGGUGAUGUGCCGCGUGAAAGCGCCGGAGUAAUGCCGGCGAGGUCGCGGUAGACACACGGACUCGAGGCUCGCAGAGGAACGUGGAAUUCCCGGUGUAGUGGUGAAAUGCGUAGAUAUCGGGAGGAACACCAGUGGCGCAAGCGGCGUUCUGGGCGAGACCUGACACUGAGCCACGACGGCGUGGGGAGCAAACAGGAUUAGAUACCCUGGUAGUCCACGCAGUAAACGAUGCAUACCAGGUGUGGGAUGGCGUUCGCGUCGUUCCGUGCCGCAGCUUACGCGAUGAGUAUGCCGCCUGGGGACUACGAGCGCAAGCUUAAAACUCAAAGGAAUUGACGGGGGCCCGCACAAGCAGCGGAGCGUGUGGUUUAAUUCGACGCAACGCGAAGAACCUUACCUAGU
rnacentral:rRNA from 1 species